GACGUAGGGCGCGAGCGUUGUCCGGAUUUAUUGGGCGUAAAGAGCUCGUAGGCGGCUCGUUGCGUCGGCUGUGAAAACCCGCAGCUCAACUGUGGGCUUGCAGCUGAUACGGGCGGGCUGGCUAGAGUGUGGUAGGGGAGAUCGGAAUUCCUGGUGUAGCGGUGAAAUGCGCAGAUAUCAGGAGGAACACCGGUGGCGAAGGCGGGUCUCUGGGCAACAACUGACGCUGAGGAGCGAAAGCGCGGGGAGCGAACAGG
rnacentral:rRNA from 1 species